AGAACAAAUAUUAUGUAGGAGUUGAUAAAUGCAAUUAUGUGUAAACUAUUUUUUUUCAUGCAUUUAAUGAUAGUUUUGAGCUAAAUGAUCCUCAAAUUGAAAAGCACUAAAAUAAACUCUGAGAAGGUUGAAAAUUGACAUGGUAUCCUCAUUUCACCCACAUACCAUGUGCUAAAAAGUUGAGAGGGUUACAGUAAAAACUGAAUGCACAUCGUGCAUAAACUGGAUAAUUUCUUUCGAAGUAUGAGGGUUUCGGACGAAUACUCAUCUGUUACAAAGGCCUUUCAAUUUUACGCUUAUUUCAACUCCAGACUUUUUAUGCAUUUUAUAAGCACCAUUCAAAGUCACGUCAUUAAUUUUCAACCCUUUCUGACUUCAUUUGCUAUUUUUCAUUCAUUUAAUGAUUUUUGAGCUAUAUUACUAAAAGAGUUAAAAAAUUGUUUUUGAUUAAAACACAUGUUUAAAAUACACUAAAAAUUAUCAAAUUUAAUAUAAUGAUAAAACACACUAAUAUUAAACAUCAGGAAAAAGAAUCACUCAAAAAUCUAUUUUUGAACUAAAGUUAUUCACAAUCUAGUGAUUCACACAUAUUUCAAAGAAUUCAAAUUUGAAAACUACUCGCACUAGAAAGUCUAUAAUUUUUGUGACCUAAAUCAAUUAGAUUCAUUCAAAAACUAUAAAUAUUAUAACAGUUAUUACAAAUCUAAAAACAAAAGCUGUCAUGUUUAAAAAAACAAAACAAAUCGAAAAAAAAUAUAGACCUUUAGUCAUGGUUGGAACCACCAAACCGGGACUCAAGGUCCGUUCCCGCACCAAAUUUGGGCCGCCGAAAAGGUGACCUUUAGUCCCGGUUGGAGUCACCAACCGGGACUAAAGGUCCUUCCCCACGCCGAAUUUGGGCCGCCGAAAAGGAGACCUUUAGUUCCGGUUGGUGGUUCGACCCGGGACUAAAGGGAGGCCAUUAGUGCCGGUUGGAGCCACUAACCGGGACUAAAGGUCUCUCAUAUAUAGUCGCGUCGUCCCGGUGCCAGUUAUAGCAUGGGAGAACUCAUCAACGGCGCCGCCAGGCCGCCCCGACGCCGAACCGCUCUCGUCGCCGCCCUCGUCUCCGACUGUCAACACUGCCAGACCGCCCCGACGUCGAAGCGCUCGUCGCCGCUCCUCGUCACUGCUCCUUGUCGCCGUCCUCUUCUCCGGCUGCCGACACCAAACCUCCAUGUCGCCCACCCCAUCGCCGCCCUAAUCUCCGGCCUUGAGGUGACCCACCGACACCUCCUCCUUCCCCGACAUCCCCCUCUGUUUUGCCACUUACGCGAGCAGCAACAUAAAGCUUAAUUAGUAUUAGGGGAAUAUUAUUCAUAUGUUUGAGCUUAAUUAGUAUAUGAUUAUGCAAGUGUGUGCGUGUGUAUUUGUUGUAGCGGCAUUUAAGCAUUUUGUGAAUGUUCAUAUUUAAGAAAAAUAUGAAGUAUUAGGGGAAUAUUCAAUACAGAUGAAAAUUAUCUUCCGAC
rnacentral:lncRNA from 1 species